rnacentral:rRNA from 1 species
CAGCCGCCGCGGUAAUACGAAGGGUGCAAGCGUUACUCGGAAUUACUGGGCGUAAAGGGUGCGUAGGUGGUUUUUUAAGUCAGAGGUGAAAUCCUGGAGCUCAACUCCAGAACUGCCUUUGAUACUGAAAGUCUUGAGUAUGGGAGAGGUGAGUGGAACUGCGAGUGUAGAGGUGAAAUUCGUAGAUAUUCGCAAGAACACCAGUGGCGAAGGCGGCUCACUGGCCCAUAACUGACGCUGAGGCACGAAAGCGUGGGGAGCAAACAGGAUUAGAUACCCCUGUAGUCCCUGUCUCUUAUAC